CCUACGGGAGGUAGCAGUAGGGAAUCUUCCUUCCUGGGCGAAAGCCUGACCGACCAACGCCCGGCGAGUGAUGGAGGGCUUCGGGCCGUAAACCUCUGUCAGUAAGGAAGAACAUAUGUGUAAGUAAGUGUGCGCGUCUCGCCGGUACCUAAUCAGAAAGCAACGGCUAAGUACGCUCCAGCAGCCGCGGUAAU
rnacentral:rRNA from 1 species